UACACCUUGACAAUCCUUUCCAAUCAACUUGAUGUGUUGUGUGCUAAUCCAUCAAAAUUUAUACUUUUGAUCCGAUGAAAAUAAAUGUCGCGAAGAGGGUGAUGUCGCUGAUGGUUGGUUCUCUUCCUCCUUGUGAGUAUUUAAUGGUACUGCAAUUAAUAUCAACCACAUUACAGUUGAGGCAGGCAAUUAAUGGUGCUUCAGCAGGAAGAAAUAUUGGAUUAUCUCUUGGAGUCUGCAGCGGGAUAUCUUAUGGGUAGAAAGUGUCGGGAGAUGAAUGGCUGGGAUCUUCAAUUAGUGUGCAAGUGCCUAGUUAGAGCAUGGGAUUUGUUGCGUGUGUUGCAUUCAGUGCAAAUGGUGAAAGUCCUUCUCUUUCUUGUCAUUUCAAAGCAAUGGAAGAGAGAAUUAUCCUUCACCGAUGUGUAUUAGUUGUAACUCUAUCCAACUUCUGUCAGAUCAUCUUUGACUAUUCUAUCUAUCUUUUGAUUACCUUAAAGAGCUUAAAGAAUGGCAGCAUUAAUCCUUUAGCAACAUUGAGUUGUCGUUUCAUUUCCACGAGCAAGGAGUAAAGGUGAAGAAUUGUGGUGUCUGUUUGUUUCUCAAUCAGUAUACUUCGUCAUCACAAUCUUCUACCGAUUUUAUUGUUUCAAGCGAAGAAUGUCCAGGUUUCAGUUGAUGUGCACCAAGAGGAGAGCGAACUGAUUGGAAGAUGCAGGAGUAUACUUUAAAUGAAGAAGAACUCAGGGGACGGGCAAAUGUGCAGGAUUUUUAUGCCCUUUACAAGCUUUGCAAAAAAAGGUGAAAUGGAUUUCAUGGAAAUUGAUCUCGGUCCACAGCCUAAUUUCUCCGAGACGGUGUGACGCGGGACACAAAUCCCAGCUAAAUUAUUUUAAUUGUAAUAAUUAUUUAAUUGUUAAUUUUCUUUAGGACUUUUUAGUUUUAUUUAAUUAGGCAUGUGGUUUCCUAGGAAAUUAGUAAUAAUUCUAGAGUUUUUUGUUUUCUUUCUUAUUCGGUUUUUUUUAGACUUUCCAAAUCAAAAAUAGUCCUACUGCUCUCCCUCGUGAACUUGUAUCACUUUCCCAAAGACAUGCUCGUUUUGGUCACCCAUCUCUAAAACUUGUCAAUUGAAUAAUGUCUCGGCAUCAUCUGCUAGUCACAACCGAGCUCUCGUGCUGUUUAUCAUGCAUACUAACUUGGUAAGAGUCAUUGUCUUCUGUUAUGAAUUGACCAAUGGUAAUGAGGGUAUCGGUGAGAGUUUUGACCUUUUGAUAUUUUUUAGAAAUGGAUUGACCACCUUUCUUGAGAGUGGUUAGUUAAAGAAAGAGUUGAAUAAUACUGUUGAUCAAUAGCAAGUCACUGAAGAUAAGCUAGAUUGGGAUAGAAUCCAGAGGAGUUUUCAGAGGUUGAGGGAAAUGUUGUGGUAAGAGGAGGAAUGUGACCUUCAACACAAUCUAGAUAAGGAGUGGCACAUAAAUAAGGAAUUAGAGAGGUCUUUCAUUAGAGGUAGUUGUCUUUGGUAAGUUCAAUUUUAGAAAGAGGAGGGGGUAGAGGAUUGUGGACGGGAGCAGAGGUUGUAGAAUUAAAGGAAGACAUUGGAAGAAGAUAAGACCAGUUUUGCUCUAAUACCAUAAAAGAGUUUCAACGUUUUUGGAAAUUGCUUUGAUGUCUUUUGGAUGCAUGAAGUAUUAUUAUUUAUAGAUUAGUUUGUGACAUCUAUGAUCUGUACAUGGAAUACAUUUUGAAAUUUAUAUUAUGCGGCUGUGUACAUUA